rnacentral:rRNA from 1 species
GAGCUUGCUCUCUGGGUGGCGAGUGGCGGACGGGUGAGGAAUACAUCGGAAUCUACUUUUUCGUGGGGGAUAACGUAGGGAAACUUACGCUAAUACCGCAUACGACCUACGGGUGAAAGCAGGGGAUCUUCGGACCUUGCGCGAUUGAAUGAGCCGAUGUCGGAUUAGCUAGUUGGCGGGGUAAAGGCCCACCAAGGCGACGAUCCGUAGCUGGUCUGAGAGGAUGAUCAGCCACACUGGAACUGAGACACGGUCCAGACUCCUACGGGAGGCAGCAGUGGGGAAUAUUGGACAAUGGGCGCAAGCCUGAUCCAGCCAUACCGCGUGGGUGAAGAAGGCCUUCGGGUUGUAAAGCCCUUUUGUUGGGAAAGAAAUCCAGCUGGUUAAUACCCGGUUGGGAUGACGGUACCCAAAGAAUAAGCACCGGCUAACUUCGUGCCAGCAGCCGCGGUAAUACGAAGGGUGCAAGCGUUACUCGGAAUUACUGGGCGUAAAGCGUGCGUAGGUGGUCGUUUAAGUCCGUUGUGAAAGCCCUGGGCUCAACCUGGGA